UUAACGACUGAGCCACCCCAGGCGCCCCAACGGAGAGCUUUUUAAAGAAAAUACCCCUGCUCAGGCCCUUCCCCAGACCGGCUGAAUGAGUGUCUCAGAGGGGAGGAGAUCAACAGGGAUGUUUAAAAAAAAAAAAAAAUUCCCCAAUAGCAUUAAAUAUGGACUCAGGAUUGAGAACUUCUGCCCUGGCAUUUUAUGGUGUCCAGAUUCCAGCACGCACCCUGUAAGUAAAGACUGAAUAAGUGACUACAGAAAUAAAAAUAAAUAAAUAAAAAACCACUUUCACAUCUUUGAUCUCAUUUUGUCUGCAAAACCGCCCUGUGAACUCCGUCAUGGCCUCACUGCCCAGAAGAGGAUAGGGAGUGUUGAAACGCCGUAAGUCACAAACGGUCCCUUUGGGCUUUUGGGCUCCAUACUUUGUUUGACCAGCUCCCCUGAGAUUAAAACUAGAUUCUCUGCUCCCCACCCAUAUUCUAGCACAACACCUCAUGCAUAGACGGUUUUUGACAGCGAGUGAUCAGCACAGCGGGAAGCGUCUCAGUCACCCAGAGCUCCACCCGGCGGCUCGCCCCCCACACAGGGCUCUCAGAUGGCGUUCAGCAUCAUGGCCCUCACUUCCUUUAUGGAAAGUUCCUACUCGUCUCCAGGACCUGAGAGGACAAACCUGGAGUGGUUGGCAGCCCAGGGCAUGUGAAGUCUGAGGAGGAGUGAGUCCACAUAAAGAAAAGGAGAGCCAAGGGGAGGACAGACCCAGGGCCCUCACAGGCUCAAGCCCUGGAACAAGUUGGUCCCAAAGCUGAUCGUGCCCAGGUUUUUUUCAGACAUCAGACAAUAAGUCCCUUUUUUGUUUAACAUUCUGUGACUGAGGGGCGCCUGGGUGGCUCAGUUGUUAAGCGUCUGCCUUCAGCUUAGGGCGUGAUCCUGGAGUCCUGGCAUCGAGCCCCUCAUCAGGCUCCUCCGCUGGGAGCCUGCU